CUGCGGGCGGGGGGCGGUGCUGGGCCCCGCCGGCUGCCGCGCCCCACUUCCCGCCUUCGCCCCGGGGACCCGGGCCCGCGCCCCGGCGGGCCCUGCGCGCCGUGUCUCUGGAACGGGGACAGAAUGGGCAGAGAAGCAGAGUCGUGCGCAGUGGACCUGGGAGUCAUGGCCAAACAACGGAAGAAACCCCCUUGGGAGCAAUGGAUCUGUCCAGAAGCUGUUCCUUCGGUGGAAGGGGAAUUGAGCCAGAUAAACCUCCCAGGUCCUUCCUACUCUGAGAUUCUGCGAACCUGUCGCCUUCAGGGCCUAAGUACUGAGGAGAGGCGGUCAGGAGCCUGACACUUGGCGUCACCCGUCGGUAAAAACAACCCGCUGGGCUCCAAGGACAUGAAUCCUUAAAAUGAACAUCUGUGAAUCGAAGUGUGUCAGUGUGUCGUUUAAAAGACCCGCCUCCACCGAUGACAGCCCUCGGGAGCCGGUGACCACAGUGCAGGGGAAGAGCUCUGGAGUGGAAGCUUCGAGGUCCGUGUCCCAGUGUCAGAAAUGAAGGACUUUGCUGAUGGUCUGGGCAGCUUAUUCAUCAGGAAGAAGUGGACGCUGAACCUCCGAGGGGUCUCGUACUAGCAUUCCAGGAUUCUUGGAAUCUGAAUUAUUAAGAUCCUGAAAAUCAGGGGUGUAGAAAUGUUCGGAGAUGCCUCCCAUCAGGACAGCCCUGCUUUGUACGUGUUCUCUCCGAGCGGCACGUCCUCCCGGCCAACUCCUGCUCGUCCUGUUUGAAGGCUCCCCUUCCCAGUGUGUCCGUCGCGGGCUUAUGGACGGAGGAAGACGUGGCCUGCCGCUAAAUAUCUUAACAACUAACUGCGGGGAGAAAAGAUUCCUGAUAGCUUUUGCCAGUACCUGUGGUGUAAAUAUCCCCGCGGUGGCGGCGAUCAAGUUGCCCAAGGAGCAUCACUGGACCCCGAAUGGGAGGAGAGACAGGCCGUUCUGCCGCCUGCACGCUGGGAGAACCUGCUCCGGCGACCCCUGGAGGCGACUCAGAUCCCCAGGUCCAGACUUUGCUUCAGGAAGCAGUCACUGUGUGCGAAGAGGCUGUGCAGAGAGUCGUGCAGGGACCCACGUUCAGCACGCCACUCCCAAGCCUGCUGCUCUCCCGCUGAGUAAGAGCUUAAGGACGGGUGAUGCCGUGUGUCCAGGUGUGUUGGCCGGUGACGGUCCGCUUGACGGAAGCACCUCCAUUUGCCUGAGUAUCUGGUGUCUGGUCUGCCUCCAGAGCUGCUCUGCCCAGGCCUCCCUAUCAGACUCGGCGUCUACGCACCUCCGCACUCAGCAGGCCUGACCUGAGCCGACGGAGAGAAAGAGCCCCACGAUCACCCUGUGAAGUCGGUACUGCCGAAGCUGCCUGAUGGCCAAGGAACCGAGGCUCAGCGAGGAGACGUGGCCGUGGUCACGGCGACAGAGCCAGCACGCUAACCUGGGCCUGUUGGGUUCAAUUCCUGUGCCCUCUUCCUGUUGCGCCGCAGAGGGGAGGCCAGGCGCUUAAACGAAGGCCCAGGGUAAGUAAGCAGAAGGCAGCCAGGCCUGGGGCCAGUGCGUGGCGCUGGGUCCCUCUGCUGGGGGAGGAGGACUCCGAAAGCCAGCUGCAGAGAGGACGUGGCUCCAUCCAGCUGUCCAGGGCCUGCAGCUAGAGUUGCAGUCACUGGGGUGGGGCCAUGCGGGGCACCCAAAGGAACAGUAGAGCAGCAGCCGCAAGGGAGGCUGGGGAGGGACACAGGUCCCAGGGUGUUGGGCAGGGCACAGCCGGGCCACCUGAGGGAGCCAUCCCUUGGCACCUGGGUGACGAGAGCUUAGAAAUGUGCUGUCAUUCGCACGCACCACAUUUUUUGGCUUGUCUUCACUUAGACUAAUCUACGUAUCAAAUUGCAUAGGUAGAAAUUAAAAAGUAGACCUUCCAGGUUUGGGCUGAACGCGUUUCACAAAACACGGGUGGAAAUGAUGACACAUCGCAUCCCUGCUGCCCGCGUUGCCACC
rnacentral:lncRNA from 1 species